rnacentral:rRNA from 1 species
CCUACGGGUGGCAGCAGUGAGGAAUAUUGGUCAAUGGGCGCGAGCCUGAACCAGCCAAGCCGCGUGAAGGAUGAAUGACCUACGGGUUGUAAACUUCAUUUAUAAAGGAAUAAAGUGAGGCACGUGUGCAUUUUUGUAUGUACGUUAUGAAUAAGGAUCGGCUAACUCCGUGACAGCAGCCGCGGUAAUACGGAGGAUCCGAGCGUUAUCCGGAUUUAUUGGGUUUAAAGGGAGCGUAGAUGGGUUGUUAAGUCAGUUGUGAAAGUUUGCGGCUCAACCGUAAAAUUGCAAUUGAUACUGGCAGUCUUGAGUACAGGUGAGGUAAGCGGAAUUCGUGGUGUAGCGGUGAAAUGCUUAGAUAUCACGAAGAACUCCGAUUGCGAAGGCAGCUUACUAAACUGUCACUGACAUUGAGGCUCGAAAGUGUGGGUAUCAAACAGGAUUAGAUACCCUUGUAGUC